UACGUAGGGUCCGAGCGUUGUCCGGAAUUAUUGGGGCGUAAAGAGCUCGUAGGCGGUCUGUCGCGUCUGCUGUGAAAACUCGGGGCUUAACCCCGGGCCUGCAGUGGGUACGGGCAGACUAGAGUGCGGUAGGGGAGACUGGAAUUCCUGGUGUAGCGGUGAAAUGCGCAGAUAUCAGGAGGAACACCGGUGGCGAAGGCGGGUCUCUGGGCCGUAACUGACGCUGAGGAGCGAAAGUGUGGGGAGCGAACAGG
rnacentral:rRNA from 1 species